rnacentral:tRNA from 1 species
GUUACAGUAGCUUAAUGGUAGAGCGAUACAAUUUUUGUAUAAGUAUAGGUUCGACCCCUAUCUGUAACA